CAGUCGCCACGGUAAUACCGAGGGUGCAAGCGUUAAUCGGAUUUACUGGGCGUAAAGGGCGCGUAGGUGGUUAUGUAAGUGAGAUGUGAAAUCCCCGGGCUCAACCUGGGAACUGCAUCUUAUACUGCGUAGCUGGAGUGCAAUAGAGGGUAGUGGAAUUUCCGGUGUAGCGGUGAAAUGCGUAGAUAUCGGAAGGAACACCAGUGGCGAAGGCGGCUACCUGGACUGACACUGACACUGAGGCGCGAAAGCGUGGGGAGCAAACAGGAUUAGAUACCCCCGUAGUCCCUGUCUCUUAUAC
rnacentral:rRNA from 1 species